rnacentral:rRNA from 1 species
UGGGGAAUCUUGCGCAAUGGGCGAAAGCCUGACGCAGCAACGCCGCGUGAGCGAAGACGGCCUUCGGGUUGUAAAGCUCUGUCAGGAGGGACGAAGCCACUCGGGUGAAUAGCCCAGAGGGUGACGGUACCUCCAAAGGAAGCCCCGGCUAACUACGUGCCAGCAGCCGCGGUAAUACGUAGGGGGCGAGCGUUGUCCGGAAUCAUUGGGCGUAAAGCGCGUGUAGGCGGCUUGUCAAGUCCGGUGUGAAAUCUCGGGGCUCAACCCCGAAACUGCGCUGGAAACUGGCUUGCUAGAGUCCGGAAGAGGAGAAUGGAAUUCUUGGUGUAGCGGUGAAAUGCGCAGAUAUCAGGAAGAACACCGGUGGCGAAGGCGGCUCUCUGGACUGACACUGACGCUGAUGCGCGAAAGCUAGGGGAGCGAACA